rnacentral:rRNA from 1 species
UACGUAGAAGACUAGUGUUAUUCAUCUUUAAUAGGUUUAAAGGGUACCUAGACGGUAGAUCGAGCCCUUGCGCAGCAUGACGGGACUAAUUUACUAGAGUUACUUACAAGGAGGCUAUAAAGUACUAAUGGUGUAGAGAUGAAAUUUUGUGAUACCAUUUUCCGUAUGGAAAGUUAUGGCACUGGUAAAGGCGAAAGCAUCCUCUUAUGUGAUAACUGACGUUGAGGGACGAAGGCUUUGGAUCGCGAAUAGG